UUUUUUUUUUCCCUGGCUGUUUUUUUUUACUUCUUUUUUCUUUUGCUUUUUGUCAGGCUUACCCAAACUUUCCCUUUAUUGUCUUACUCUCCUCCUUUGUUGGCUGCCUGCUCCUUGUUAACUCAGCUUGUGCAGCUGGAGGGUCACUGUUCCUGGUGGUGUUUGGACUAUCUGGAAGAGGAGCCCAGUAGUUUGAAAUUCUAAUGCUGGGCUUUUUUAUAUCUUUUGCACAGUCAUUUCUCUCCCUAAAAGUUUUACUCUUCUUGGCUUUCUCUUGUAAUGUGUGAAGAAAGGUGAAGGGCUCUGAAUUUUUGGUGGCAGAACAGAGAAACUGGCUGCAUGCAAAGUGUUGUCACAAUGUUUUGACAAAACCGACAAGGUAAACAAGCGAGUUCCAUUUUUAUUCCUGAUUCCUUCUGCUGUUGCCAUCUCCUUUGCUGCUUGCAACAAUGAAAGAGUUUCUGCCCAGAGCUUUUUUUUUUUUUUAUGGUUUCUUUUACUCUGCUCACUUGCACAUGAUUUAGCUCACUGGCACUGCAAAAUGUGCGUGGGUUGUGAGCGUGGCAAGGAGAUACGUAUAUAGAGUUUAAAGCUAGUUAAGGUUAAUUUAAAUGGACUUCCAAAAUUAUAACCUGUUUUAAAAUCUCGUAUUCCCCAGAGCCUAAUCUUUGGGCCUGAAGUUGAUGGCAUUUUCCUUCUCUGAAGAGGAGUGUGUUGUGUCGGGAUGGCUGAGGGUGAUGGCACAGGAAGGAUGCUCCUCUCUGUGGCAGCUCUCCGGAAGCUCCGCAGCUGGAGCCGGGCUGCCUGCUCUGCUCUGCUCCCAGCAGAGGCUCCUGUUCGUGCCAGAUGGUCCUGGGUCCGCUCUGGGAGUUUCUCUCAGCCUGCCUAUCCUCCUUUGCUUGUUGUCUUUGCAAAGCUUUUCAGUUCCUGAUGGGCUCUGUGUGUUAGCAGCAGUCUGGGAGAAAGGCAGCUCACAUCAGGGUCCGCAGCAAUCCCGCUUCUUGUGAAUGACAAGUGGGCUGUGUGUUGCUUGUUGUUAGUGCAGAGCAGCUGCAGAUAGCAGAGAGAAGUAAAGGCCAAGUCGUCCAUUUGCAGGGGUUUCACAGUGUUACUUCUCCAUUGGCAUUCUGGAUAUUUUACUGCAAUUUGGUUGGCAUAGAAGUUGCUGCUGGAGGAGUACAUUGGAAGGGAAAGGAUAAGCAGGUUGAUGAUGGGGCUGGCAUGGUGUUGUCACUAACAAAGGCAUUUCCUGAGCCAGCAGCCUCAGGCUGAGUGAAAAGAGUUUGUCCAGGGGAGGAGUUCCCAGCAGUCACAGCAAAGGUGUUGUCUGUCUGGAAGGUGGGAAAAGGCUUUCAGGGCAAGGUGGGAGAUGGGAUGUGGCAGACAUGGAUGGCCAAGGUACACCUGGGCUGCCAUGCAAGUGCUUCAGCAUCAGCACAGCUCUUGGAGAAGCCCAUGAGAGCCUGAUGACAGUGGCUCUUUGCCACAAGCAGCUGAGGGGUGUCAGGCAGCUGCUCCCAAGGGAUCGUGGAGCAGUGGACACUGAGCUCCCCAGCUGGGGUAAGCUCUGCUGGUCCCCAUUGUUGCAGUUUGGUGGCUGAAGCCAGAUGAGCAUUUUGUAUUUUGGAAGAGUCAAAGCAUGUCACUCCCACCUCUAUAAAAGUAGUAACGGGUUGUGUAGCCUGUUUGAGACAAAAUAUCACGGGAGAGGGAGAGUUGAAGUCAUACAGCAAGAAACGAGGCAUGUUUUCACUGAAAAAUGUCAGCUGGAGAUUAAGUGAAAAAAGAUAAAGAUAGAGGACUUUUGGCCUCACUAUCUGUCUUUUGAAUGUUGACUGAUUAAAAUAAGACAGAGUGAAUGGCUGGAUAUCCCCAAACAAUGCUUCACUGUCCCACUGCAGAUCGAUACUGCUGGCGCUCCUUCACCCGGAGACGGGAUCUGGUCCUGAGCUUUCUGCUCUGGAAGGCACCGUGGCCAGCCAAGAUGGAUCCUGCUCAGGCUGGCCAUAGAUUUUGCCUGCAUGUGGGUGUUGUCUUAUUUUGGGUGACCAGACAUCACCUGGGCUGUGGCAGUACCUCUGCAGCUCGAGUUGGGCAUGUGGUUUGGUAGGGAAAUUCUGCUGUCCCUGUGUGAGGUACCUUGGAGCAGUCUAAGAGCACAAAACCUGGUACAGUUUGGGUUUAACUAAGACAGGUUUUACCAACCAGUGGGCAUGAGGUUUAUCGGGCCAAGCUAGAGCUUGUAGGAGAGUAAAAUAUCCAAAACACAGGUAACAUAGCUGUCAGGUCUUUAGCAGGGUCUACUUUGCUGUUGAACUUGGUGACCCUGGCCAUUUCUACACCUCCUCUUGAGUCUUGAGUUCAUGACAUGUGGUGAAUCUUUACUCUUUUCUGGACCAGCCAUCAGCUGGAAGGGGUUUUGGUUUGAAUGGGAAUCUGCUGGAUCUCCCCAGCAGGAACUCAGUCUUAACUCAGACAGUUCCUUGGCUUUGUUAGUGAUCAGUUGGUUUGCUGUCCAUCCUGACAUUAGCUUUGCAAAAAUACACACCUUAGCCCUUUCUGGGUCUUGGGCCACGUAGCAGACUGAAGUGCAAAGAGGAUUAGCUGUAAAACUGGCAGUGGGAGUUUCUGCUGAGUCUCCCUGGCUGUGGCAUAGAGGCAUUUUUUUCUUGAAACACUAUCUUGAAAUAUGCAGGAAGCAAGAAAAACCAGCUUCAUUCUUUCUGUUCGAGACUGGAGAGGUGAGAGGUGUGGAUUUACAUCUGCAGCACAAAAGGAUGUGCCCUCUUGGCUGGGGAGACCUUGGAGGGAGGUGGCUGUCGGAGCCGAUCCAGUGCACGCCUCUGGGACAGCAAGUGCAUGACUUGGAGAGAUUUAGACAGCUUUUUGGGAAAAAAACCUCCUUGUGUUGAAAUGUCAUCCCAGUCAUGAUGUGAUUUCAAUGGAGAAUUGCUUGUGAAAGUGGCUUGCAAGCUGUAUCUGAAGGCCCGUGACAGUGCUGACCCCAGUGGGUUUGGCUCUGUUACUGAACACGGUGCAGAGACCGUGCAGCAGCCCCAUGGGUGUGGCCUUGGUGCAAAGAUCCUGUCCUGCUGACACAUGGCAGCAGUGUGGGCUGGGAGGUGUUCCUGUCAUGCUGGCAGGAAGGUCUGGGAGCUGAGCCUGGGCUCUCAGACAUCAUCACCACCGUGCUCUGGAUUGAUGCACGGGCCAGCAUUGUUACGGGGAGUUUUGGGGGCUCUGCUGCGGGGCUUACCCCCAGUGGGGCUUGUGCUGAUGUGGCUGGUGUUGAGAUGAGGCUGGAGGAGGCUGUGUCCAUAUCAUGGACCUGGAUGGUUUCUGGUGCUGGGAGUUGAGUCAGUAAAUGAGCAGUGGUCGUUUUUUCUGUUACGAAUGUCUUGAUGCGUGACUCAGGCUCAAAUUGCUGUGUGCCCAUCGAGGUUGGGUCAUUGGAAGUUUGGGGGAUUUUGUUCUCACUCUGGGUAGAAAGGGGGCUGUCAGAGGGCUGGACAGUGGUUGUGCAUCAGGCAGGACCAGUCUGUUGGGAUAUCUGGGAGCAGCAUUGUCAUUUGAAGGGCAGCCACCUUGGUUUGGCUGUCUCUGCCCCCCCCAGCUUGGACUUGCUCUAGUGUCUCCCUAGGGAAUGCAUUUUAUUUCUUCCUGCUCCAUCCUGGUUGCACAAUAGUGAGCACAAUGUAGGCUGCUGGCUUUAUUGCCUGCAGUCUUCUGAGGUUUGGAACUUGCCUGGGCUCACCUUUUGCCCAGGCAUCUCAUAUGGGCAGGGGAGCUCAGAUCAGCAGCUCCUGGGGAGUGAGUCUGCAUCGGCACAUUGAUGUCAGCCGGUCCAGGCUCCUGAAAACUCACCUAGGGGUCGAGAGGUGAGUGCUGGGAUUUCAGGGACCAGCUCUUCUCUCUGCGUCAGUCCAGCAGAAGCAGGUCCAGCUGGCUCACUUUUGGGCGAGCUGGGAAGGCUUGCCGAUCUGUCAAUACUUCAAGAAAUGCCAGGGCUAGGAAUCAUGGAGAAAGGGUUUUAUGAAAUGUGGUAUUUAAACCUCCCACUCGAGUGAUGCUGAGGAGAGCUGGCAAUGUAGCAUUGGCUUAUCAGAAGCUGUGUGGGCAGGUCAGCUUCAAAAAAUGUUGCAUGAGCAGCACCAGAGGUGAAGGAAAGAAGCUGGUGUCCUGUCAGGUACAGAGUUUAAAUGGGGUGAGACUUCCUUUUUAUUAAAAAGAUUGUUUUAUUUAAAUAAUAAAUGACAGUGUGUUCACCGUUGCCAGGGGCUGCUGAAGGGCAACCAGGCAGGUCUGAGCAAAGUAGGGACUAAAGGCUUUGAAUUAUUUUCUGUCAUUAAUAACUCUGAACUGAGCACUGCAAAUUCAUGUAAAAGCCACCUCUGCUUUCAUGCAUGCGAGCAGUUUGGUUUGCGGAUAGAUCUGCUGUGAUCAGAGGCUCAUUCUAUCUUAAAAAAAAGAAGUUGGCUUCUGAGCUUCACCUCUCAAUAAAAGUCCUGGAAAAUGAGUCCUUGCAGGCUUCUGCAAGGCCAUAUGUAACUUAUCUUGUCCAAUGCACGUCUCUAAUUGGCAGUUUAAAGUAAUUUUAAAAAAAGAAUCUGUUAACGGUCAGUCUAUUUUUGGUUUAAAGAUGGACUUUAUAUGGUCAUAAAGUAAAAUUCCUAGCUUAAUUAUGGGAAUCAAAGUACAUUGGCUUAAUUGCACAAAGAACUGCACACAAGAGUGCAGAGAGGACACGCUUUACGAGUGAUUAUCUGCUGAUGAAAUACUAUAUGGAGCAACAAGUGGGGGCAUUCCAGGCUCCAGAAAGCAUCCUGAGGCCAGAACUGCUGGAGGAGAGAUGGCACCAUAUCCUUGUCCAAUCCAAGAGAAUUGGACAUUUCUCUUGUCCAGUGUGGACCAACUCUAUUUCUGGAAAUAAAUGAGCAUGGUCAGGGUUCAUUCCCACCACAGCACUGACUGUCCUGCCUUGUGGAGACUUGAAACUGGACUGGAUUGAAGGGGUGGUUUAUAACCAAAGCCUUGGUUGAGGAGUUGAUUUGUGUUCUGGAUAUACUUCCAGAAUCUGGAAAAGCAGCUGUGGGAGGUUUGAAUGGUAGAGGAUUUGGUGAUGAGAAAUACAAGUUCCCAAUGAUUAGAAGGUCCAUUAAAUUAUCUCCCUGUUGAUUGGACAUGUAGACUUUGAAAGGUGUCAGCCUGCAUUCUUGAAGCUGAGAUACCUUGGAAGCUUCCUGGUGUCCAGGAAGGAGACAGAAUUUAGGGCAUGGCAGUGCCUCUUCCCAAAGUCUGUGUGUGUGCCUGGGAAAAGGCUGUGACAAGAAGUGAACUGAAGAGCUGUGACUUCACAGCAUUUCCACUUCAGCCCAGGCGUCCCCAGGCUGGUGGCACGGCAGGUGGGCAGGGUUUGGGGGGGACAGAGCCUGGUGGGAGGCUGAGGCUGCUGGGGCUGGAGAUUGAGAGCAGAAUUGUGUGCACGGGAGGGAUUGGGCUGGAGUAAGGAAUGGGCACAUCUGCACAACAGGGUGGAAAACAGGAGACAAAAAUAGUUAUUGUAGACUGCUCGAUGGUGAGAAAAUAUUUCGGCACAGCUGCUCUGAUUGAAACGUGGUGGGGGUGAUAGAAAUCAAUAAGAUACUGCAUUACCUGCCAUUGUAGCAGGUAUGUUAGGUCAUAAAGGAGGAACACUACAGCUAAAAGGUUGCUGUAAAAUCUGAGGAAAUUGGAGUACUGACGACCAAACAGCCACAUUUAUGUUGGAUAUAAAUUCUGUAUUUUAAUGACAUGGAGGUAUUAGGAAGUUUUCUAUUCCAAACAAAAGGAAAGUUGAGAAUUUCAUAACCUUGGGAAAAAAACAGGCUCACGCAUCUUCAUAAACCUGUUAGAAAAAGUGAGUUCUAUUAUAACCAUGCUAUCUGGCCAGAUUGUUUAGGAGGGAACUGGCUAACAUUUUGGUGUGCAAACAUAUUGAUUUACUUAAAGAAUAAUUUCUUGUAACAGCCUGGUCUAGAGUUCACUUUUGUUUAGGACUAAGACAUAAGACCUGAUUCAAAAUACAAUUAUUGUUGAGUUGUCAAGUAGCAGUGACCACCUGGGGUCACUGAAUUGCAUGUGCAGAAUUCUCAGGGGUAGAAGAUGCUAGACUAAAAGUGAGUCUUCUUUUUUCCAAAAUAUUGCAGGGGAGAAGAUCAGAAAAAUUAAGUCCUUAGACUUACUAUAGAUACCUGGGAAGGUUACUGACAUCCAGGUGAAGCAGAAAUCUGUCACAAAAGAAUGAACAACCCUAAAACUGUUGUUAAAAAUAGUUCUAAAGGAAGGGACUUCUGGAGUUCAGGAAGAUUCCACCCAAGGACAGCAGUCCAGCUCUUGAGAAGCAGACUGGAAGAGCCAUGUAGUAGAGCAGGUAAUCAUGAUUGGGAAAUUAAGCAGUUUAGGAGGGGCUUUGCAGAGCUGGAGGCUUUGGGGAGCCAAUGGUGUCUGAGGGACAUCAGAGACAAGGCUGGGGAGAAAAUCUGGCUGUGCAGGACUGAAGGCAGAAUUCAUUUCCUGCACUACUUCAUGCCACUGAAGUGACUCCCCCAUGUCAUUCUGGAGCACAGGGCAUGUUUGAGAGUCUGCUGUCCUUUUGGGUGGAAUAAGGAGCUUCUUCUGAAACUCAAGUGAGGCAGAGAUGCUGGAGCAAAGUAGGAAAUUCAAGUGGACGAGCAACAGAUGCAUCAAGGGGUUUUAAAAAAGGUUGGGACUGAAACAUUUAAAGGUACUAACAAAAACAGGGCUGUCAAAAAACAGCUUAGUAUUCUCCAUGACUAGAUAACGUCCUAAUGUCAGGUUAUUCUUUUUUUUUUUUUUUAAUUAAAGUAUUAAUUGGGGCACUGGGGAUUGCAGAUCAGAAACCCUGAACUCCAGUUUGAGAAGGAGAAUCUGAAGUGCUGUAGCUCUUCAGUGUGUGAGACGUGGAAAGCAACAUAUUUUCUGCAGAGAAAGGGGGUUGGACCAGGUCAUUCCUUCCAACCCAAUCCAUUCUUUGAUUCUAUGAUCAGUCUGGUUUGCUGGGGCACCUACCAGAAUGUCUGAAAAACAGCAGGAUAAAAAAUAGGCUUGUUAUGAGAAGAGUCCUUCUUUGAUUGCAGUUGAUUUUUGUCACUUGGGGAGCAAAAGGUAGACUAAAGUCUAGUUAGAGAAGGUGAUUAAAGGCUUCCAAGUCUGCAUCUUCAGCCUUUGAGCAAAUGAGUUCCAUUCAAUGGUUUCAUUAAACCCAAAGUUGCUGGGUGGAGAAAGGUUGAGUUUCAUGAAACUUUUGUGGUGGACACCACUAGAUCCAGGUUGCAAAGUCUGGUCUGACAGGAGAAACAAGCCUGGAAUAUUGGGUAAUAUGGCAUCUAGAUUUCUCCUGUAAAGCAACACCCCCAGUUCAAAUUCCUGCCUUGAGCUGGACUUGCAGGUCUGCCAGAUCCCAGAGUGUGCCUCAGCAGCUGAUAUUUUGGGUAUGUUCUGUUUUCUUCUUACUAAGAAAAAACUCAAAGGUCUUGGCUUUUAAAAUGGGUAGAAAGGGAAGGAGUAGGAACAGAGGUCUGGGCAGCAUCUUCCAGUGUUUGCCUAGGUCUGUCCUUGAGGGAGGGUUAUUGGUGUGUGCACAUGCAGACCUGUGUUACCUCUCUUCCCAAGAGACCCAGAAAAACCCACAGCUAACUGGUGUCAGCCAGAGCAACCUUUUGCUGCUCUGGCUUAGUUUUAGGCUUCUUCAGUCAUGGCAAAUACCCUGGCUUCCCCCACCUUCCCAAUCUUCAGUAGAUGCUGGUACCAAAGAGUGAGUGCUUUGAUAAGUCGUUGAAGUUUGCAAUAGAAUCAGGAAAACUGCAAGCACCACGAGGCUUUCAGUCAGAUUUUAUGUUUAAGGACAAGAGCAGAGUGGUUGAGUUAUACUGGGGAAGUGACCCCAGCCUGGAUGUGACUGGAAAAUUGAGAAGAUCAUAAGGUUUGGUGCAGUGAGCAUGGGGCUGACCCUGGGACAAGUGAGGCAACAAGCAACUUGGGGGGAAAAAAGCAAUUUUUAAUGCUCCAUCAGUAUGCCAGGCUGUAAGUGAAUUGUUCAUUCAGGAGUAAGAACUUUGAUUCUGGUAGCAGAGCAAAUGAAGGGAAGAUGUGUGCUCUGCCACAGGGAUCCUGCACAUUUCAGGUGUAGGUGCAGGUCUGUGAGGCUGUUGAGCAGGAGCUCCUCUGUACCACAGCUCCUUAGAGCCCCACAGUGUCCCUGUGCUGCUCUCCCUAGUGAUCAGGUGGUUGUCACUGGCACAACCUUUGUCCCUACCCCUAGAAAUCCAUUAGAUUGCUCACUUCUAGUUAAAUUAUACCAGCUGACUUUGAAGUUACUCAAUAUAAAACUGUCGUGGUAUGCUUGCAUGAUAGUUAUUUGAUGUAAGACAACAGUUUCUUGUGCUCUCUCUUUAGGAAUUUGGGCUUUGAGUUUCACUGGGGUGUGUUGUACAUACCCAACUGCACAGGAUCAGGCCCAUCUCUGUUUUAAAAUGUAUUUCACAUCUGCAAUUAGAGAUGUUCUAGGAAACAAAUUAGAAGAUCGAGUUGUCUGUCACAGGCUCAGAUGAUCAUAGCGAUUUGUGCUAAAGGCUCUGUCCUCGUAGAGACCUGCACGGCUGCUUUGUGUAACUGCUGUCAGAGCUCUGGCGUUCUGGUAAUAGUGUUUUUUAAUAAGUGUACUGAGUAUACUCACCUUUAAAUCCUGUUAGGUACCAAUAAUUAUUGCUGGUAUUCUGUACAUUAGCUCUGUACUAACAUUCACAUUGGACUAGGCUUAAUAGCGUGAGUGUCAAAGAUGACUUGAAAAAGGAAAAUUAGUUUAUACCCUUUCUGUGUGGUUCUACUCCAUGUAGUGAGUGGUUUGUAGAAGUACCAUAAGUGCUACAACUGUCUUCCCUCUUUUACUUGCUGUGAUUCUCUGCAGCAGAACAUACAGAUUUAAGUCUGUUUUUCCAUCCUUUGGAGACACUGAGAUAUUAUCAUGGUGAGGUCCAUGGAAAUACCCAGAGAGCUGGACCCUCACACAGAGAUAAGGCAUCUUUUCCAUUUGUUUGUUUUUUUUUUUUUUCUUCUGCUGUCCAUCCUCCAAGUUUUUGUUUGUUUUUUAUUUUUCAAUGUAAAAAAGUUAUACCCUCAUCUGUCAGUGCAACAUCCUCUAGGAUAUUUGUGAUCUUCCAGGAAAGGUAGACAGGACUAGAAUAACUAAUGCCAAAAAUUGCCCAUGGCAAGGGAGGGAAAUCCUUGUUUUCAAGGCAAACCCCAUCCAAACUUUUUUCAGCACACCACAAGGGUAUAAAUCCCAACUUUUUCUUUUCCAGGUGAUCUUUAAGGCCAAGUAGCAGAGGGCAGUGUUUUGCCCUCCAGUGGGGUUCGGGUGCCACGUGGCAUCCGCGCUGUCCCGCAGGUCUGAGCCCCCGGCACCCCGGCAUUUAGGGAGCUCCGUGGGGUUGGCUUUCACCGUGUCCUCAAUUUGGAUCCCCAGGGCAGAAAAAUUAGGACUUUGUCAUUUAAAGAAUAAACCAAAAGUGAAGGAAAAUCUCUGGAGAGUUGUGUUUCCCCACAGCAGUGACAGCCCCUCAGCACCCACUUCUGUUCAGCCAGGACGCCCGGGUCAGUCCUGCUGGGUUUUUAGCCAUCUUGACCUCAUGUUUGCAAAUAUUAUUGGUAAUAUAAUGCUCUAUGUACAAAUGUCUGUGUGGCUCAUGUGUAUGUUUCUGUGGUUCCAGUCAGCCACAGACUUCUGGAAUUUCAUUGUACUUUGGUUAAAUGUUGGACUUUUAACUCUUCUACUGUAUGGCUUCUUGAUUUCUCUUGUCCAAUGUGGACCAACUCUAUUUUUGGAAAUAAAUAAGC
ensembl:lncRNA